AGGACCAUAUCAUGUUGAAACCCUGAUUCCUGUACGAUCACUGAAGAUAAGCAAUGUCAUGCUUGGUCAGUACUAAGAUGGGUGACCACUUGAGAAUACCUGGUGCUAUA